rnacentral:rRNA from 1 species
GACGAACGCUGGCGGCGUGCUUAACACAUGCAAGUCGAACGGUAAGGCCUUUCGGGGUACACGAGUGGCGAACGGGUGAGUAACACGUGGGUGAUCUGCCCUGCACUUCGGGAUAAGCCCGGGAAACUGGGUCUAAUACCGGAUAGGACUGCGCGGUGCAUGCCGUGUGGUGGAAAGAUUUAUCGGUGCAGGAUGGGCCCGCGGCCUAUCAGCUUGUUGGUGGGGUAAUGGCCUACCAAGGCGACGACGGGUAGCCGGCCUGAGAGGGCGACCGGCCACACUGGGACUGAGACACGGCCCAGACUCCUGCGGGAGGCAGCAGUGGGGAAUAUUGCACAAUGGGCGCAAGCCUGAUGCAGCGACGCCGCGUGAGGGAUGACGGCCUUCGGGUUGUAAACCUCUUUCAGCAGGGACGAAGCGUGAGUGACGGUACCUGCAGAAGAAGCACCGGCCAACUACGUG